CCUGGCCCAGGAGGCCUCCAGGGGCACCUCCAGCCAGGCUCCAGGGGAAGCUCUCAUCACCCUCCCCAGGGCCAAGGCCACAUGGUGGGGUCACCAGAUGGGAGGGUGGGAGGCCUCGGGGUCUGGGGGGCUCUGCAGCUGCCCAGCUCUUCCAGCUGAUGGCUCCACAUCUUGGGAGAGGGCUCUGAUUUCAUGAUGGGCUGGGGGCUUCUCAGGAUUCCACAGCCCAAAUGGCGGGACAGUUCAGGGGCUCCAAGACCAUCAGGAGCAUGUGGUACCCAUGUAACAACCCAAGACCAUGUGUCAUCUGGACAAGGAAGGUCAAUGCACACAGGGUUCCUCAUUCAGCUGGCUUCUCUGGGUGCUGAAUGAUGGGGUAAGGAGGCACAGGGAGACCCUGGCUCAGGGACCCUCCUUGCCCUGCAGUGCCCUGCUUCCCCAGCCCAGGGGUCCGGCUCACCCCCAG
rnacentral:lncRNA from 1 species